GAGGCGCUCGCGCCCUCGGUGGGAGGAUGGGCUCCCGGCUCUCCGCCGGCGCCCCGCACUCCCGGGGCGUUUCAUUCUCAUUUACGAGUCGAGACGCACCAGGAGCGCACACGCUGGUACCCGAAAGAUGGUGAACUAUGCCUGGCCAGGACGAAGCCAGGGGAAACCCUGGUGGAGGUCCGAAGCGAUUCUGACGUGCAAAUCGAUCGUCUGAGCUGGGUAUAGGGGCGAAAGACCAAUCGAACCAUCUAGUAGCUGGUUCCCUCCGAAGUUUCCCUCAGGAUAGCUGGCUCUCGGGAAGAGACGAGUCUCAUCCGGUAGAGCGAAU
rnacentral:rRNA from 1 species